rnacentral:lncRNA from 1 species
GGAGGGCACCAUGCAAUGCCCCGUGCCAUCUUGGCUUGGCUCGCGGGCACCAAGCAAGGCCCCGUGGCACCUUGGCUUGGCUCGCGGGCGGGCACCAUGCAAGGCCUCGUGCCACCUUGGCUUGCCUCACGGGCACCAAGCAAGGCCCCGUGGCACCUUGGCUUGGCUCGCGGGAGGGCACCAUGCAAGGCCCCGUGCCAUCUUGGCUUGGCUCGCGGGCACCAAGCAAGGCCCCGUGGCACCUUGGCUUGGCUCGCGGGCGGGCACCAUGCAAGGCCUUGUGCCACCUUGGCUUGGCUCGCGGGCACCAAGCAAGGCCCCAUGGCACGCGUCGUGUGUCUUGGCUUGGCUCACGGGCGGGCACCAAGCAAGGCCCCGUGCCACCUUGGCUUGGCUCGCAGGCACCAAGCAAGGCCCCGUCGCACGUGUCGCGUGUCUUGGCUUGGCUCGCGGGUGGGCACCAUGCAAGGCCUCGUGCCACCUUGGCUUGGCUCGCGGGCACCAAGCAAGGCCCCGUGGCACCUUGGCUUGGCUCGUGGGCGGGCACCAUGCAAGGCCCCGUGCCACCUUGGCUUGGCUCGCGGGAGGGCACCAUGCAAGGCCCCGUGCCAUCUUGGCUUGGCUCGCGGGCACCAAGCAAGGCCCCGUGGCACCUUGGCUUGGCUCGCGGGCGGGCACCAUGCAAGGC